UUUGGUACCUACUCUGACUGACCAUCGAGUCUUUGACUCAUCCAUCAUUCAAUGUAUAAAUAUUAUUUUGAUAUUUUAUGUUCAAAUAAUUAGCUAUUCUCAGUUUUUUGGUACUUUGCAGAGCGAAAUAUAAUUAGAUAUUGAAUUAUGAAACUGGCAGUUGUGCACGAUUAUUGGUGUUGUUAAAACAGUGUCUACAAGUAGACCUUAGAAGUGUUAAUAAAUAUAGAAAAAACAUAUAUGCUUUAUUUUUACACAUAAAGCUAUUAACUGUAGACUGCAAGAGCUCCAAGAACAAAAAUUUCGUAAAAAUGCAUCUCGGAGUUAACAUAUCGAAUGCUCUACAACAAUUAGAAAGCGUAAAAGCAGCUGUAGAUCAGAGUGAUGAUCCUAAGUUAAAGGCUGCAACCAAUGAUGACUUGAAUAUGCUGAUUAAUUUGUUGGAAAGUCCCAUACUGAAAAGCAUAGCAACAUUGCAUGACUCUGUUGGAAUGCUUGCAACGCAGGUUGCUCAUCACCCUUCCAUAAUUCCUGGCGACUUUGACAUCACUCCAGCAGGUGACCUUGCUCUUCAAGCAAGGAACUUGUAUGGAGGGCAUGAAGGGGAAGAGGAACAGCGUGUGCCUCAGGUGUCACCACCUCACAGCCUGGAGUUUGGCUCCAGCUCUGAUAAUGAGCGCAUACUGGGGCUUGACAGUGGCUCUGUUGACUCCAAUAUGUCUCCUAAACAGACUCGCGGCUUACUGGACCUGUCAAGGACUGAUGAAUCCCUUGGUUCCAUGUCACACAGUAUUGUGGGCAGUGACUGGGCGCAGGUUGAAAUCAUUAACCUGGUUAAUGAUGGCACAGGAUUGGGAUUUGGUAUAAUUGGCGCAAGGACAAGUGGCGUUAUAGUUAAAACAAUUUUAGCGGGAGGCGUCGCUGACAGGGAUGGCCGUCUGAAAUCUGGUGAUCAUAUAUUGCAGAUAGGUGAUGCGCACCUGAUGGAGAUGGGGUCGGAGCAGGUGGCGGGCGUGCUGCGCGCGUCGGGCUCGCGCGUCCGCCUCGUGGUGGCGCGGGCCGCCGACCCCGCCGCGCCGCCCGGCCACGCCGCGCAUGCCCACCGUCCCGCGCCGCUCGUGCCUGCCAGAUUGCUCUCGGACCCCGAGGCUCUGGACCGCUAUCUACUGGACGCUGGCUUCGAGCAAGUGUUUCAUACUCAACCAACACCCGUUUCUCACAACUCCAACGCGUCUCGAUUCGUGUUCGACCGGUCCAUUACUCCACCACCUGAAGCAGACGCCGAAUCACCUGAGGUCGAUAGAUUCACUGUGCAGCUGAAGAAAGAUGAAAAUGGACUGGGAAUCACCAUAGCAGGCUACGUAUGCGAAAAAGAGGAGCUAUCAGGUAUAUUCGUGAAGUCCGUGACGCCGGGCAGUGCGGCGGCACUGAGCGGUAAAGUUCGCGUCAACGACCGCAUCGUCGCCGUCGACGGCGUGUCGCUCGCCGGCAAGUCUAACCAGAGAGCCGUCGAUGCCUUGAAGCAGAGCGGGAACAUUGUCACUUUGGAGUUGGAGAGAUACCUCCGCGGUCCGAAGUUCGAGCAACUCCAGCAAGCGAUAGCGGCGGGCGAGUCGGCGGCCACCGCCGCGCCGCCGCACAACCCCUUCCUGCACAUGCACCGCCCCGACUCGCUGGCGUCGCCCGAACAUGACAUACCUAUGGCGCAGCUGCAUAACACCAUUUCAGUGGAAAGUGCAGUAGAAGAGGCGGGCAGUUCGUCUCCGCCGGCCGCGCCUGUAGUGACGCGAGCGCAGCCCGCGUUCGAGAUGCCUCGCACACAUGAACAGAAGGAGGCCAUCAGGAGGAAGUGGCAAGCUAUACUUGGUGACGAAGUAGAGAUCGUGGUGGGCGUGGUGGUCCGCGGCGGCGGCGGGCUGGGCAUCUCGCUGGAGGGCACGGUGGACGUGGAGGGCGGGCGCGAGGUGCGGCCGCACCACUACGUGCGCUCCGUGCUGCCCGAGGGACCCGUCGGCCGCGCCAACGUGCAUCGACCCGGGGACGAGCUGCUCGAGGUGAACGGGCACCGACUGUUGGGCAUGAACCACCUAGAAGUGGUGUCGAUCCUGAAGGAGCUGUCGAGUGAAGUGUGCAUGGUGUGCGCGAGACCUCGCCCAGCGCCACCUAUCGACCUAGCACCACCUGCCGCCACACUCGUCAAGGCGAAAUCAGAUGGGAGUCUAGCAGGUGCAGGCGCAGAAGAGGGCGGUUCGCUGUCGGCGGGCGGCAAGGUGCGCUCGCGCAGCCUCGAGCCGCUCACCGGACUUGCUAUGUGGUCCUCUGAACCACAAAUUAUCGAGCUAGUGAAAGGCGAGCGUGGUCUCGGGUUCUCGAUCCUGGACUACCAGGACCCGCUGCGGCCGUCGCACACGCUGGUGGUCAUCCGCUCGCUGGUGCCGGGCGGCGUCGCGCAGCAGGACGGGCGCCUCAUACCCGGGGAUAGACUGCUCUUUGUUAACGAUCAGAACCUAGAAGACGCGAGCUUAGAACAAGCAGUGGCGGCUCUGAAGGGGGCCCCUCGUGGCGUGGUACGUAUCGGCGUGGCCAAGCCGCUGCCGCUCGCCGACGCGCCGCCGCCGCUGCCGCACACCGCGCCGCCCACGCAGCCUUAGACCACAGAAAACGAAACAGGACAAUGCAGAAGCCGACCUUGAAGAAAAAGAACUCGAGAGCGUGUGCAAAAUUUCAUCCGUAUCGAAGACCGGGAAGUGGGUCAAAUUGAGAUUCUAAGAUAUUCUUACAUACAUAGUUACAAGUGAAGCUAAUAUAAACGUGUUCAAAAAAACCAUCAACAUGUUCUAAUCGACUAGAUCGAAUUUGUACUAGGUCAGGCUUCUGCAUAUUUAUGUUUUCAAAAUAUUUGCUCAUUUAGACAUUCAGAUAUCGGGAAGAGUUGUCAUUAAAAUGCAGAUUUUAUUAAUUCUGCAAUACCACACAUCUCUCUCUGCCGAUGCUAUUUAUAUUAAUAGUCUUAUUAUUUACUGCGAUAUAUUAUUGUAAGUUCAAAUGUUUAUUCUCUUUAUUCUCGUUCGUGGCUAGUGUUUUAUUACGAACAUUUUAUUACUUGUGUGUAUUAUGGUUAUAAAAUACUUUGAAGCUUAUAAGUGAACAAUGUAUUACUUUCUGUGAGCACGUGUUCAGUUCUGAAACCUUUUGACCACCUGUAACGGUCAUAACCUGCAUUUUAUUGUGCAAUAAAGCCCAGAUUGUAGGUAUUUUUAAAUUACAUACAUAGUUGUUUGAAAAUUACAUUACAUUUUACAUUUGCGUACACUUGUAACAAUUCGAAACCGAGCGAUGGGUCGAUAGGACCGAGAUGGCUAAUGAUUGUCAAAAGGUGAAUUUUUAUUUAUCUUCAGCAUUCCAUUAAAAUAAAAAUCAUGACUUAAACGUAAUUGUGACAAUAUUGUAUGAUAAUGAAGUUGUACUUUAUCUACCUUUCUUGAGUAGAGGACAUAGUAAGCAUUGGGAUACACUGGAUAAACGGCGUAAUGAGAAAAGACGAGUUAGGAGAAAUAAAAGCCGUUCUAAAGGUGUGUAUUGUGUAUGCCAUUCAUCUGAUUAUAUCAUUGGGAUAGGAAUUUGAUUUUGAUGUCCUGAUAUAUUAUAUAAAUAGAUGUCGAUGAUGAUUUUAUUUUCUUUACCUUCCUCCUUGCGCCCCACCUCCAUUAUGUCCCAAAGCUAAUGUAACUGUGUUAUCGCGCCUUAUAUCAGCUGGCAAAUAGACUUCUCGUUCAUGUACUUAAUUGAAUAUUAUAGUAUUAUUCGUGUGAUUUUGUAUUCCAUAUAAGAAAUACUCGUAAAAUGUGAUUCAAGUCGUUUAUUUAUAGACAUAUCAAAAGUUUACAUAAAUUGAUCUUAACAUUCUGUGAUGCAUUCCGACACUUUAUGUACUUAACUGCCAAUCAUUGAAUUUGAACAAGCCUUUGUCAAUUUAUAAAAUGUUUAAAGUUGUUUUAUUAAUUAGAUAGGUAAUCAUUACUUAAAUGUAUUGAAUUUAUUCAUAGUAUUUUAAUGUUAGUUUAUUUAAAAGUAUUACAAAAAUAUCUACCUGAAUUGAUUAAAUUUUUCUUAUUAUCUUGAUGUUAAUUCCUUUACAAAUAUCAUCGUCCAUUCCAAUUUUAUUGGUAUGUGUUACUUUAGGAAUAAAUAAAACUUAAUAUUA
rnacentral:misc_RNA from 1 species